CUAGCAGUUGUGAACGCGAGCGGUGAAUCGUUCACUUGUGAACGCUUCACCAGUGAACGUACACGAUUUUUACAUAAUCCACCCCCAGGAUGAGCUUUAAACCUAUAGAAUAUAGAUAUUACUCUAUAUCUAUAGGACCCACAAUAAACGUAUACUCAAUAGGUUACGGAAUUGGAACCGUAUUCCCUUUCGCUCAAAAAAUAUAAACCAAAAAUUUAUAUUUUUUUAUAUGUUCAGCUUUCGCCUAGAGCUUAGGACCGGUGUGUAACAACUCACCUGCCGAAACAACUAGCCCUUAAAAUGGAUGGCGCUCAAGUCGUCUGCCUAUACAUAGCCGUUACAAUAGAUGUUAUAUAUGAGCAAUUGUAUAUAAUAUGAAAUUGUAAUGAGUAGGAGGGUACAAUGGUGUGCUUUGAAGUGUUGGACGUAAGUCCACAUGGAGCCGCCAUUGGCACAGAUCUUG
rnacentral:rRNA from 1 species